UAUAAAUAAUUACGGAGGAAAUUAAGAGGUUUUUAAUAUUUAAUUUAAUAUAAGGUAAAUUGAUAGAAUAGAGUAGGAAAAAAUGCAAAAAAAAAACAGGAGAAAAAUGUAAAAUAGAAAUGGAUGAAAAGCAAUUAAAUAAAAAGCAGCCAUGCUCUCGGCGUAGGUUAGGCUAACCUGCGCCGAUACUGGUAUCUAUGGCUAAAAAACUAGGACGACCACACAAGGAACCGACGAUCACCUUCGGCAGCUCAGUGAGCACUAGUAUAAUUGCUGAAACUCUUGAAUAUGAGCGAAGAGUUAAUACACCUAAAUCUUUUGUAGAGCAGGUUUCACAGACGCGAAUUGGGGCUACACCAGCUAGUAGAGUAACCCCUGGUUUGGAUCUGAGUAAACAAAACAUGGAGAAGGGUAAAAACAUUGCAGAACAUAGUGAACCAUCUACGGGAGGAACAAACCGUGCAAUUAAUUACUACAGUGGCCAGCUCGGAGCAUCGAAGGAGAAUACAACUCCAGCUGAUACUCAGAAUAAGGACUCACUUCCUAAAAUUGCGGAAGAGGAAUAGAAAUUGGAUUGGGCAAAACUGUUCAAAAGUAACAGGGCAUCUGAAAAUAGGCUCUUUCUGUCGUAUAUUGUCCCAGAUCUGGUGGAAGGGAAGCCAAUGGUGAAGCUUGAUAAAGCGGAAGCAGAGAAAGAGACUAAGAAGUGGAAGAUAGCUUUCAUAGUUUAUGUAAUUGGGGAUCUACCGGGAUACAAUUACAUGACUAAAUACGUUGCUAAGACUUGGUCGACAGUAGCUGCUCCAGAGAUAUACUACCAUGAAGAAGGAUAUUACGUGGUAAAAUUUGCUUCUCUUGAAGAUAUGCAUGAGGUGAUAUGAGCAGGGCCAUAUACUAUUAAUAAUAGACCAUUGAUCAUCAAACCAUGGACACCGAAUUUUGAUAUUAAUGCUGAAUUUCUAACUGAAAUCCCCUUCUGGGUAACUUUUCCAAAUUUGCCUAUGUACUAUUGGGGGCAAAAUUCACUAAGUAGGAUGAUGGCUAGUAUGAUCGGAAAACACCUCUUCGCGGACGAAUGUACUGCAAAGCAGAAAUACAUAUCUUAUGCGAGGAUUUUAAUAGAGGUUAAUGUGACUCAAGUGUUACCAACUGAGAUUGAGGUACCAGAUCCUUAUGGCAAAAAAUUCACGCAAGGUGUAAUCUACGAAUGGAAGCCGCAAUAUUGUCAGUCUUGUAUGGUUAUUGGGCACACUAUGCACCUAAACAAUCUGAUCCGCCUCAGGAACACAAUCAACUAAGGAGACGAAGGAGGGCACAGAUUAUUCAGAAAUGGUUUGCCAAACCUGUCGUUAACAACCAUCAAUUAGGAGAACAAGAUACCCAGGGUAAGAAGCUAUUAGUUGAACCUGAAGUAACGGAGGUGCAAGCUCCAGUUAAGAUAAACGAAUGUCAAACAUCUACCAACAGGUCCAAAAGCAGAGGAGAAAAUCAGAUGGAAGUCGCGGUACCACUCAAGACCCAGGGCUGAUAAUAAAGAAUGGGUUUCUUCCACUGCAAAUUGGGGAGUAUGUGCUAAAUCCAGUCACGACCACAGAUAAAGGUGGUGGCACAUCCACAACACCCUCAUGAAUUGGCUAAUAUGGAACUUGCGAGGGUUGAAUAAGUGCUACAAGCACGGAACUAGAGAAGUAUUUAGUGAAUAAACAGAUAACUUUGGUAGGACUGAUUGAAACUAGAGUAAAGGCUCAGAAUGCAUUACAGAUAGCUACUAAAAUUGCUCCUGGUUGAAAAUUAGUUCUCAACUAUAACAAAGCUUCUAAUGGAAGAAUUUAGGUUAUAUGGGAUGAAAGGCAUUAUGAGGUUACAAUACAAGAAGCAGCAGCCCAGUUUUUGCAUUGUCACAUUAAAGCUAGACAAGGAGGUGUGAAAUUCAAUCUCACAGUAGUUUAUGGAUGGAAUACGGUGGAACAGAGGAAAGAGUUAUGGGAUCACCUCUCCAAACUCACUACCCCAAUUCCUUGGCUAGUGAGUGGGGGCUUUAAUGCAAUUAUGAAUCUGACUGAUAGAAUCAACGGAACUCCAGUCACAAUAACUGAUGUAAAGGAUUUUGCUGAUUGGGUACAUGGUAUGACAUUUAUAGAAUUACCUCGGAGAGGAAGCUAUUUUAGCUGGUCGAAUAAGCAACAUGCUGGAACUAGAGUGCAAAGUAGAAUUGACUGGGCUUUAGGCAAUACUCAAUGGAUGCUACAAUACGGUUACAUAAUCACAGAAUAUGGACAACCAUCUAUAUCCGAUCACUCACCAAUGAUGUUCUCUUUUGCCACUCAAUUGUAUCAGCCCAGUGUCCCUUUCAAGUUUUUCAAUGCUUGGGCAAGCCAUGAAAUGUUCUUACCAUUAGUAGAAGAGGGGUGGAAGAAACACUUAACAAGCUGGAAAAUGAAGAAUGUCUGGGAUAAAUUAAAGUUGCUGAAAGGCCAAUUCAAAAAGCUGAAUGCUGCUGAGUUUAAGGAAUAACAGUUAAGCUUGAAAAAAUCGGACAAGCACUCUCUGGUAUUAAAGAACAGCUCCAACAAAACUACUCCAUAUCUCUUGCCAAUAAAGAGAAGGAGAAGUUGGAUCAACUAGAAAAAUGGGCUCUUAUACAGGAGAGUAUUUUGAGGCGAAAGGCAAGAGUUAAUUGGAUUAAGCUGGGAGAUUCUAAUAGUGCAUACUUCUCAGCAUUAAAGAAGGAGAAAAAACAGCACAAAUGAAUCUCUAAACUUACAGCACUGUCAGGCCAGCAGUUAUGUGACUCAAAUGCACUCAAGCACGAAAUUACUCAAUUCUAUCAAUCUCUGAUGGGAUCAACAGCCACAUGCUUACCAGCAGUAGACAUGCAAAUAUUGAAAAGAGGUCUUAUUCUAAACCAUCAACAACAAAUAAUGUUGUGUACAGAGGUUGCAUACCAGGCUGUCUGGGAUGCCCUAACAUCAAUUGGAGAUGACAAAUCCCCAAGUAUCGAUGGAUAUAAUGCUAAUUUUUUUAAGAAAGCAUGGAAAGUGAUAAAGAGUGAGGUGUGUGAGGCAGUACAAAAUCUUUUCAAUCAUAAUAGGAUGUAUAACUAUCAACUAUACCUCUAUUACCUUGUUGCCAAAGGUUCCUAACCCUAGCACUAUUAAGGAAUAUAGGCCAAUAGCUUGUUGCACUGUCCUUUAUAAGACCAUAGCUAAAAUUUUAGCUGCCCGGAUGAAGAGUAUCAUGCAAUACUCAUUAUUGAAAAUCAAGCAGGGUUCAUUCCAGGAAGGAGGAUAGCAGACAACACCAUUUUGGCACAUGUUUUGAUUAAACACUAUAAUCGAAAGCAUUUAUCUCCAAGGUGUAUGUUGAAGGUGGAUUUGCAAAAAACAUAUGAUUCAGUAGAGUGGGUCAACAUAGACCAAAUUUUAAUAGGCCUGGGAUUUCCUACAAAGUUCAUCACUUGGAUAAUGAUUUGCAUUAAAACAGUGAGGCAGUGAGCUACUCCAUCACUAUCAAUGGUGAAGCAACAAAAACUUUUAAUGCUGCAAAAAGAUUGAGACAGAGCGACCUCAUAUCACCCUAUCUCUUUGUAAUUGCCAUGGAGUAUUUGAGCAGGAGCCUUAGCACCUUAACAGAGAACAAGCAAUACAAUUUUUACCCCAUGUGCCGCCAACUUAAACUAACACAUCUUUCUUUUGCAAAUGACUUCUUUUUCCCAGAGGAGAUGAGCAGUCUAUGAAGGCUCUGUUCAAACAAUUUACUAAAUUCUCAGGAGCGUCAGUAUAAGACCCCACAAAUCCUAGUCAUUUCGAUCCUUUAUAGUUUGUAAAAAAGGGGUCCCAGACUUAGAAAAAAAAUUCAGCUAAGUGUUAAGACUUAGAAGCAUUUUUAGCCUUCAAAA